GCUCAAAUUUGAAAUCUGGCGUCUUUGGCGUCCGAGUUGUAAUUUGAAGAAGGUAUCUUUGGGCCCGGCUCUUGUCUAUGUUCCUUGGAACAGGACGUCACAGAGGGUGAGAAUCCCGUGCGAUGAGAUGACCCGGGUCUGUGUAAAGUUCCUUCGACGAGUCGAGUUGUUUGGGAAUGCAGCUCUAAGUGGGUGGUAAAUUCCAUCUAAAGCUAAAUAUUGGCGAGAGACCGAUAGCGAACAAGUACAGUGAUGGAAAGAUGAAAAGAACUUUGAAAAGAGAGUGAAAAAGUACGUGAAAUUGUUGAAAGGGAAGGGCUUGAGAUCAGACUUGGUAUUUUGCAUGCUGCUCUCUCGGGGGCGGCCGCUGCGGUUUACCGGGCCAGCAUCGGUUUGGAGCGGCAGGAUAAUGGCGGAGGAAUGUGGCACGGCUUCUGCUGUGUGUUAUAGCCUCUGACGAUACUGCCAGCCUAGACCGAGGACUGCGGUUUUUACCUAGGAUGUUGGCAUAAUGAUCUUAAGUCGCCCGUCUU
rnacentral:rRNA from 1 species